AUUGAACGCUGGCGGCAUGCCUUACACAUGCAAGUCGAACGGCAGCACGGGUGCUUGCACCUGGUGGCGAGUGGCGAACGGGUGAGUAAUACAUCGGAACAUGUCCUGUAGUGGGGGAUAGCCCGGCGAAAGCCGGAUUAAUACCGCAUACGAUCUACGGAUGAAAGCGGGGGACCUUCGGGCCUCGCGCUAUAGGGUUGGCCGAUGGCUGAUUAGCUAGUUGGUGGGGUAAAGGCCUACCAAGGCGACGAUCAGUAGCUGGUCUGAGAGGACGACCAGCCACACUGGGACUGAGACACGGCCCAGACUCCUACGGGAGGCAGCAGUGGGGAAUUUUGGACAAUGGGCGAAAGCCUGAUCCAGCAAUGCCGCGUGUGUGAAGAAGGCCUUCGGGUUGUAAAGCACUUUUGUCCGGAAAGAAAUCCUUGGCCCUAAUACGGUCGGGGGAUGACGGUACCGGAAGAAUAAGCACCGGCUAACCACGUGC
rnacentral:rRNA from 1 species